rnacentral:rRNA from 1 species
UGGGGAAUUUUACGCAAUGGGGGAAACCCUGACGUAGCGACACCGCGUGAGCGAAGAAGCCUUUUGGGGUGUAAAGCUCUGUCAGCUGGAACGAACACAAUGACGGUACCAGCAGAGGAAGCAUCGGCUAACUACGUGCCAGCAGCCGCGGUAAGACGUAGGAUGUAAGCGUUGUCCGGAUUCAUUGGGCGUAAAGAGUUCGUAGGUGGUCUGUUAAGUUUGGUGUUAAAGAGCGGGGCCCAACCCCGAUAGUGCACUGAAUACUGGCAGACUUGAGUGCGGUAGAGGUAAGUGGAAUUCCAAGUGUAGCGGUGAAAUGCAUAGAUAUUUGGAAGAACACCGGUGGCGUAAGCGACUUACUGGGCCGUAACUGACACUGAGGAACGAAAGCCGGGGUAGCGAAUG